AAGACAGCACCCCGGACAACGCAGAGGGUCGCUUUGGAAUCAAGCCCCGGCUAUGGAGGCACCGGCACAAGCCACGCAGCUUUGGCGUCGGGCAGGGAGACGGCGGCGCUGCCGGAGCCGGUCAGCUUCUCACCGAUGCUCCUGUGCUCCCUGAGGCUUCCCAUGACAGAAGCCACUGCACAGAAGGCAUGGAGAUCACUGCACAUCUGUGACCUGCCUCAGGCAGUGUCGAGAGAGGCCCCUCAAACAUCACCCUCCAACACCUCUGAAACACCAAGGAGCGAUCUUCGGAGACCUCUGAAACACCAGGAAGUGGCUUCCCAUCACAAAAGCACCCUGCACUUGGGUCCCUGGGGACUUGGGAAGAGACUGCAGACAGCCAAGCCUCUGCUUUUGACAUUCACUUCUAUUUAUCUUGAGGCGAAGCCAAGCAGAGCCAAGAAAGAUAUUUAUAACUCCCCCCUCUCUGCAGCCAACACAGAAACGCUCUGGUUUCAGAGGAGCCCUGGAGCACAGCUAAUGAAAUGUCUCCUGGGAAAGCAUCUUAGCAUUUUUUAUUCUGCACCAGGAAAGAAGGUACUUGGAGGUUGUUGCCCUUCAGAAGCAACUGCUGAUACCCCCAAGACUGGCCGACUCCUCUUCCUGUCCUUUCCUAUGGCUGCCAAGGGCCCACCUUCCCCCAAAAAGGCUGCAGGGAACAUGAGGAGAUGUGCAUCAGGAGCAGCCAGGAGGGAGGCAGGGGAGGAGAAUUGCAAUCACCCGCAGAGCCAUGUCAUUUGAUUGGAGUGGGACGCGAGACUCAGCAAAAGCACAGUAAUUCUAUAAAUCCAAACGUGCUGAAGGAUUUAUGUCCUCGAUGCCCAAGGAAUAAAUAAGAGAAUGAAGGUUGGGA